UGGAGAGUUUGAUCCUGGCUCAGGACGAACGCUGGCGGCGUGCUUAACACAUGCAAGUCGAACGGAAAGGCCCCUUCGGGGGUACUCGAGUGGCGAACGGGUGAGUAACACGUGGGCAAUCUGCCCUGCACUUCGGGAUAAGCCUGGGAAACUGGGUCUAAUACCGGAUAGGACCACUUGGCGCAUGCCUUGUGGUGGAAAGCUUUUGCGGUGUGGGAUGGGCCCGCGGCCUAUCAGCUUGUUGGUGGGGUGAUGGCCUACCAAGGCGACGACGGGUAGCCGGCCUGAGAGGGUGUCCGGCCACACUGGGACUGAGAUACGGCCCAGACUCCUACGGGAGGCAGCAGUGGGGAAUAUUGCACAAUGGGCGCAAGCCUGAUGCAGCGACGCCGCGUGGGGGAUGACGGCCUUCGGGUUGUAAACCUCUUUCACCAUCGACGAAGGCUCACUUCGUGAGUUGACGGUAGGUGGGAGAAGAAGCACCGGCCAACUACGUGCCAGCAGCCGCGGUA
rnacentral:rRNA from 1 species